rnacentral:tRNA from 1 species
GGAUAUGUAGCUCAGUUGGUUAGAGCACAACUCUCAUAAAGUUGAGGUCGCUGGUUCAAUUCCAGCCAUAUCUACCA